UAGCCAUGAUGUGGACAUGAAUUCAUGAGAUCCUUGAACCUCUCCUAGAAUUAGAAGAAAGUUUCCUCCUCUUUCUGAGCGAAGUUCAUGAUUGCCUUCCUUAAAGUGU